rnacentral:rRNA from 1 species
GGAGAAUUGAAACAUCUAAGUAUCCUGUGGAAAAAAAAUCAACCGAGAUUCCACAAAUAGUGGCGAGCGAACGUGGACUGAACUGGGCCUCAAAAAAUCAACAUCUUUGGGUCCCAAAUGUGGCAAAGCCAUGCUUCUCACGCAGAAAUGUGCUGGAAAGCGCAGCCAAAGGAGGUGAAAGCCCUGUGCAGAAGAGAAGCAACAAAAUGGGUCAGCAUAGUAAAGCAGGGAACGAUUUAACCUGUUUGAACAUAGGGGUUUCACCCUCUAAAACCCAGGCAAAGCAUAUUUUCCAAUAACUGAUAGUGAACACAGUACCGUAAGGGAAAGGUGAAAAGAACCCAAAAAAGGGAGUGAAAUAGAACCUAAAAUCAAAUAUAUACAAGCAACAGGAACUCGAAAACACAGACAUAACCUUCAGGGUUUUCCUGCGGAACUGUUCAAUUUCGAGUGACUGUGUACCUUUUGCAUAAUGGGUCAGCGAGUUAAUCAGCGUAGCAAGCUUAAGUCACUAACAAAGACACAUGCGCAAUUAAUAUAAACCAAGUUGCGUUGAUUAGACCCGAAACCGGGUGAUCUAAUCAUGGACAGGUUGAAGAUACAGUAAAAUGUAUUGGAGGACCGAACUCAUGCAUGUUGCAAAAUGCUGGGAUGAUCUGUGAUUAGGGAUGAAAGGUCAAUCAAACCCGGAAAUAGCUGGUUUUCCGUGAAAACUAUUUAGGUAGUGCAUGGUAUGCAAACAGCAUGGGUAGAGCUACUGGAUAGGUAUCGGGUUGCACUGAGCUUUACUGAGCCAAACCAAACUCCGAAUGCAUGCUGCUGAACUGUCGGUGCGCUGCUUAGGCAGCGUUACGACGGUCGUAAACUAUACCAUAGACAGACUACGGGUGAUAAGAUCCGUGGUCGAGAGGGAAAAAGCCCAGAUUGUAUUCUAAGGUCCCUAAAUAAUAACUUAGUGGUGAAAGAUAUGGGAGAAUUAAGACAAUCAGAAGGUGGGCUUGGAAGCAGCCAUCCUUUAAAGAAAGCGUAAUAGCUCACUGACCGAAAUGGUUCUUCUGUGCUGAAAAUGAACGGGGCUCAAGUUAUUUACCGAAGAUACAAGCGUGCAUGUCACGCGGUAACGGAACGUUUUGUAUUUCGUCCAAUGUUGAAGGCUUUUUGACGGGAAGGUUUCGCGGAAGCGGAGCUGGAGAAAUCAAAAGUGAGAAUGCUGAUAUUAGUAGCGUAAACCGAUGUGAGAGACAUCGGGACCGAAAGUUUAAGGGUUUCUGUGUAAAGCUAAUCUUCAUAGAGAAAGUCGGUCCCUAAUCAAAGAGCGAAAGCUGUAUGAGAUGGGAAUUCCAUUUAUAGAUUUGGAAACCGAUCGGGACGUGACGGGGAAACCUGAAGGAAAAGCGGCUGGCCCUUUCAAGGGAUCGUACCAAGCCGAACGGAUUGUUUUUCCUGAUGCUAUCCUCCCGAGAAACAACACCGAUGAACGACCGUACCCUAAACCGACUCUGGUAAACAAAUAGAGAAUAUUCAGGUUUUGAGAUAAUCAUAUUGAAGGAACUCGGCAAAAUGAUCCCGUAACUUCGGAAGAAGGGAUGCCGGCGCUUGCGAAAGCUUGUGUCGGUGUAAUAUAAUAGGGGAUAGCGACUGUUUAAUAAAAACACAGGUCUAUGCUAAGUUGCAAAACGACGUAUAUGGACUGACGUCUGCCCGGUGCUGAUAGGCUAAUGGGAGAGGUGUUUGCCUCGAACGUAAACCCCAGUAAACGGCGGCCAUAAUCCUGAUGGUCCAAAGGUAGCGAAAUUCCUUGACGGGUGAGUUCCGUCCUGCACGAAUGACGUAACGACUUUCCCACUGUCUCCAAUAUGAUCUCAGUGAAAUUGCAUUCUCCGUGAAGAUGCGGAGUUCCCGCGGCAAGACGGAAAGACCCUGUGCACCUUUACUAUAACCUUAUAAUGUUAAUGAAAUGAACGUGUGUAGGAUAGGUGGGAGCUUAGGAAAUCUCCAAGUGAGAGCGCGUGCAUUCGUUCUCUCACACUGUUAGAUUAUUGGCUUACGUGAAAGACCACCCGCUUCAUUUUCUUGUUAACUAACUGCAGUCCUUGAAUCUGGGCUUGGGACCUUUAUAAGGUGGGUAGUUUAACUGGGGCGGUUGUCUCCCAAAGAGUAACGGAGACGCGCAAAGGUAAGCUAAGGCUGGUCAGCUAUCAGCCUUUUAGUGUAAUGGCGUAAGCUUGCCUGACUGUAAGGCUUACACGCCGAACAGAGACGAAAGUCGGUCAUAGUGAUCCGGUGGUACUUUGUGAAAAGGCCAUCGCUCAACGGAUGAAAGGUACGCCAGGGAUAACAGGCUAAUGAUCUCCUAGAGCUCACAUCGACGAGAUCGUUUGGCACCUCGAUGUCGACUUAUCACAUCCUGGGGCUGAAGAAGGUCCCAAGGGUCAGGCUGUUCGCCUGCAUUAAAGUGGUACAUGAGUUGGGUUUAGAACGACGUGAGACAGUUUGGUCCCUAUCUACCGUGGGUAAAGAAGGAUUGAGGAAUAUUAUCGUUAGUACGAGAGGACCGCGGUAAAAAUACCAAUGGUGUAUCGGUUGUGAUGCCAAUUGCAAUGUCGAGUAGCUACGUAUUUAUAAAUAACUACUGAAAGCAUAUAAGUAGGAAGUU